CCCGGCCAAUGCAAAGAGAACUUUUAC
rnacentral:piRNA from 1 species